GCGGCCGUAGUCUAGUGGUUAGGAUACUACCCUGCCACGGUGGUGGCCCGGGUUCAAAUCCCGGCGGCCGCA
rnacentral:tRNA from 1 species